CAAUAGCGUAUAUUAAAGUUGUUGCAGUUAAAAAGCUCGUAGUCAGAUUUUGGCACCAUGCCGAACUGUCUGCCGAUUGGUAUGCACGGUUUGGCGGGUGCUUCCUUCCGGAAGCCCGCGUUCUUCUUCACUGAAGAGCGUGGUGAGUCCGGAUCAUUUACUUUGAAAAAUUAGAGUGUUCAAAGCAGGCCUCCGCCUGAAUACUUGAGCAUGGAAUGAUAUCAAUAGGUCCUUCCUCCCCGUUUAUUGGUGAUGGGGAGGAAGGAAAUGAGAAAGGGGAAUGGUUGGGGCCAUUCGUACUGCAGCGUUAGAGGUGAAAUUCUUGGAUCGCUGCAAGACGAACAACAGCGAAAGCAUUUGGCAAGAACGUUUCCACCGGUCAAGAACGAAAGUUAAGGGAUCGAAGAUGAUCAGAUACCA
rnacentral:rRNA from 1 species